CUUGCAGACCUAUGCAAUGGGUGGUUUAAGCAACGCUUCAGGGUAGGAAUACAGCAGAGCACUUGGAUCGCUUGUGUGCCUUAGGUAUCUGCAAGGGG
rnacentral:SRP_RNA from 1 species